AUUUAUUUUAUAUUCCCAUAUAGAUUCAAGUAUCGAAUUUCUGUGAGAGAGACACAGUGUUCAUAUGUUAUUUGCAUGGUGGCAAAUAUUACAGACUGUUCGUUUUAUACAUAUUGAUUCGUGAUUUAUUCGUGUUGGUAUUUAGACACACUUAGAUUUAAUUACAUGUACUUUAAAGAUAUUUUGAGAGAGAAAAUUUUAGACGACAAAUGUUCGUAAUAGCGCGCUUGUAAAUAAUGUAAAUAAAAUUUGCUCUUUUUGAUUUUUCCACUAUGCAUUUUGAAAUAGUAUUCGUUCAUAAUUUACACAUGCUGAUACGGGAGUAUCAGAUAGGGACCGACGGGGUAAUAUGACCCGACAAUUGUUCGUUCAAAGUUCACAUUUAGGAUUUUGUAUAUUUUUAUAAUAUUAGCUUUUUAUUAUUAUUCCGAGUCCUCGUUGCGUUUUAAUAAUUUAUUAGUUUAUUGUAUUUUACGCUAUUCAAAAGUUACUUGUAUUUUACACUUAACUAUAAUCCUUUCAUUUAGAUUAAUUAUCAAAGAUUUAUAUCCGUCUUUAAGAUAAAAGGUUUUGUAACAAAGAAUAUAGAUAAUUUGACACUAAGUGAUAACUGCCGAAAGCCAUUCUUGACAAACUUAUACGAAGCAUGUUUUUAAUCCGUAAUCCCCGCUUUCGGCAAAACGCGAAUUAAUAUUAUUUAAUAAAAAGAUAUUUGAUUGGUUCAUUUUCCGUAUGUCAAUCAGUCUUUUGAAUUUGUAUUUUAUAUUUGUUUGUAUGUUGU
rnacentral:lncRNA from 1 species